rnacentral:rRNA from 1 species
UAAAAUGAGAGUUUGAUCCUGGCUCAGGAUAAACGCUGGCGGCAUGCCUAAUACAUGCAAGUCGAACGGGGGUGCUUGCACCCCAGUGGCGAACGGGUGAGUAACACGUAUCUAACCUACCUCAUAGCGGGGGAUAACUUUUGGAAACGAAAGAUAAUACCGCAUGUGAAUCUUAUUAUCGCAUGAGAAAAGAUUGAAAGGACCGUUUGGUUCACUAUGAGAUGGGGAUGCGGCGUAUUAGCUAGUAGGUGAUGUAAUGGCUCACCUAGGCGAUGAUACGUAGCCGAACUGAGAGGUUGAUCGGCCACAUUGGGACUGAGAUACGGCCCAGACUCCUACGGGAGGCAG